rnacentral:misc_RNA from 1 species
GGUUUUUGAUUGCGGGUUAUUAUUAGCUUUAGAAAAUUACUUGAUAACGCGAUCUUCUGAUUGACAACCAAUUUAAAUUUGGACAAUCAGUUAUCUGGUAAGUUAUGUGGAUACUCUAUCCUCCCACGACUCCCCCUUGUAGGAUCCCACUGUUUAUGUUGUUGUUGUUGCUGUAGUUAUAUGGCUUAGGACAUUUGGUUGGAGG